rnacentral:rRNA from 1 species
UACGAAGGGGGCUAGCGUUGCUCGGAAUGACUGGGCGUAAAGGGCGCGUAGGCGGAUGGCACAGUCAGAUGUGAAAUUCCCGGGCUUAACCUGGGGGCUGCAUUUGUUACGUGUUGUCUUGAGUUCGGAAGAGGGUCGUGGAAUUCCCAGUGUAGAGGUGAAAUUCGUAGAUAUUGGGAAGAACACCGGUGGCGAAGGCGGCGACCUGGUCCGACACUGACGCUGAGGCGCGAAAGCGUGGGGAGCAAACAGG